UACGUAGGGGGGCGAGCGUUGUCCGGAAUUAUUGGGCGUAAAGAGCGUGUAGGCGGCUCGGUAAGUCCGCUCUGAAAGCCCGGGGGCUCAACCCCGGGAGGCGGGCGGAUACUGUCGGGCUAGAGUCCGGAAGAGGCGAGUGGAAUUCCUGGUGUAGCGGUGAAAUGCGCAGAUAUCAGGAGGAACACCAAUGGCGAAGGCAGCUCGCUGGGACGGUACUGACGCUGAGACGCGAAAAGCGUGGGGGAGCAAACAGG
rnacentral:rRNA from 1 species